CUGGGCGUAAAGCGAGCGUAGGUGGCUUGAUAAGUCAGAUGUGAAAGCCCCGGGCUUAACCUGGGAACGGCAUCUGAUACUGUUAGGCUAGAGUAGGUGAGAGGAAGGUAGAAUUCCAGGUGUAGCGGUGAAAUGCGUAGAGAUCUGGAGGAAUACCGAUGGCGAAGGCAGCCUUCUGGCAUCAUACUGACACUGAGGUUCGAAAGCGUGGGUAGCAAACAGGAUUAGAUACCCUGGUAGUCCACGCCGUAAACGAUGUCUACUAGUCGUUGGGUCCCUUGAGGACUUAGUGACGCAGCUAACGCAAUAAGUAGACCGCCUGGGGAGUACGGCCGCAAGGUUAAAACUCAAAUGAAUUGACGGGGGCCCGCACAAGCGGUGGAGCAUGUGGUUUAAUUCGAUGCAACGCGAAGAACCUUACCUGGUCUUGACAUAUCUAGAAUCCUGCAGAGAUGCGGGAGUGCCUUCGGGAAUUAGAAUACAGGUGCUGCAUGGCUGUCGUCAGCUCGUGUCGUGAGAUGUUG
rnacentral:rRNA from 1 species